rnacentral:misc_RNA from 1 species
AGGAUUUUCAACAUCGUGAUCGGUGGAGGGGUGGUACAGCUCUAUGAAUUUGGAAGGAUUAGGGUUUGGAUGUGAUCUAUUGUUGUUUGUGGGUUUGUGUAAAUGCUCGUGGGAGGGGAUCUAGGGUUUCUCUCGAGCUUGGUGGUGGCGGCGUUUGUGGCGGUUUUUGGACCGGUGUUAUGUUUUGUGGUUAGACGGAAAUGGAGGCGUUCGGUGGCGAGGAGGGAGGAGAUCAAGAGGUUGUUGGUUUUGGCUUCGGAGG